GCCUCUGUAGCUCAGUUAGAGCGCUGCACCGGAAUGGCAGGGCCGCAGGUUCGAUUCCUGCCAGGGACC